rnacentral:rRNA from 1 species
CAGUCGCCACGGUAAUACGUAGGGUGCAAGCGUUAAUCGGAAUUACUGGGCGUAAAGCGUGCGCAGGCGGUUAUAUAAGUCAGAUGUGGAAUCCCCGGGCUCAACCUGGGAACUGCAUUUGAGACUGUAUGGCUAGAGUGUGUCAGAGGGGGGUAGAAUUCCGCGUGUAGCAGUGAAAUGCGUAGAUAUGUGGAGGAAUACCGAUGGCGAAGGUAGCCCCCUGGGGUAACACUGACGCUCAUGCACGAAAGCCAGGGGAGCGAACGGGAUUAGAUACCCCCGUAGUCCCUGUCUCUUAUAC